rnacentral:rRNA from 1 species
UACGAGGGGUGCAAGCGUUGCUCGGAAUUAUUGGGCGUAAAGGGUAGGUAGGUGGUCUCAUUUGUCUGGGGUGAAAUCCUUGAGCUUAACUCAAGAAGUGCCCUGGAAACGGUGAGACUAGAGUCUUGGAGAGGGUCGCGGAAUUCCCGGUGUAGCGGUGAAAUGCGUAGAUAUCGAGAGGAACACCUGCGGCGAAGGCGGGUAGCUGGGCCGACACUGACGCUGAUGCGCGAAAGCCAGGGGAGCGAACGGG